rnacentral:lncRNA from 1 species
UCGGAGGGAUAAUAUGUAUCUCUGCAGGAGAACAAUUAUGUUCCAUGUCUCGAAGAACUGGUUGUACGAUAUGGAAGAUUAGCAAAGGAUUAAAUUAGCAUUCUGACUAUAUUGUCAUUUUUAAAUAUUUCACCUAUUAACAUACAAGUUCUCUCAUGUGUCUAUAAGCUUAAGCCUUUGGGUGUUUUUUCAUUACCGUGGCUCUGAAAAUCCACCAUGUAGUUGUAGAAACUCCACGACUUCUUCAGUUUUUAUUCAAUCUUUUAUCUUAAAUUUUCUUUUGUUUUCCUUAAUCUUCUUAGGUGAUGGUAUAUUUUCAGAUUAGCUUCUCUUGAUGUAUUUAUCAAAGCUAUAUGAUCCUGUUUUUCUGAAACGACUUAUGUAAUCUUCUCAAUAUUUUUCGCUUUGUUUUGUUUCACCUUCGUUGUUUCAGUACUGCUAUCAUAUUAUCUCCAUCAACAAUACAACAAAGCGGAAAUAUACUUGAUAGUUUUCUGUUUAAGAAUAAAUAGUUGAUCACCUACACUGAAAAUAGCAAUAGCAAUAGCAAAUGCAUUUGCUGAUAGAAUAGAUUGAUACAAAAUUUAUAUAUGUAAACCGUUAAUUCGCUCGUAUGUUUAUAUCUUGGGUUGAAAUAACUUUGUGGCAUUUAAGUCUUUCUAAUAUGAAGGGAGGAUAUCACAAAUCAAAUACAUGCAUUAUAAUCUUUUGUUACAGUUGACAGAUAUAAUUUUUAUCGCAAAUUAUAGUGUGAAGUCUUAUUCACACACUCUUUUUUCUCUAAUUUCAAUUACUACAUCAUUAUUGAGCUCACUAACUAUUAUAAUUGAACCAGUAAGAUUUGUAUGAGAGGUGAAAUUGAUAUGAUGCACGAUGUCGUUAUAGAGGUUGUAUAAGUGUUUAUAUUGAUCUUAAGCUCGAUUUAUUUGUAGAUUUCAUUGGAUACAUAAAAUUUAUUGAACAUCAUUGUAAUUAUUUCUUGUCACAAUGUCGUCGUUGCCGUGGAUCUUCUAUUUGAAGCUCAAAUUUGAUUCUGAUUUACUUUUCAAUUUGAUUAUUCUUAAAUUUUCUUUUCCCCCAAGCUAAUGUUAUAUUCUUUGUUGCUUGCAGUCUUCUAUUUGCAGGUUACUUUGUCACGAGAAAAAAAUCAACUACUUCCUCCUCAGAGGUCUUCAUCACAUGUAUUGGAUGUCUCAAAAUAUUCAUUUCAAAGUAAGUUACACAUUAAUCAUCUUAUCUUAAAUAUGAUUGCAUAUUAUAACAUAUUUGGUCAUCCAUGAUUCCCUGGCUUGCAGCAAAAUGUGAACUUCUCUCUCUCUCUCUCUGUAAAACAAUAGUUAUUAUAGUAAUGGUUGCUCUAGCCGAAACAAAAGGUUGCAUCACAUACCCCGACAUUUUCAGAUCCAUCUUAUCCACCUGGUAAUUGUAAAUAUCAUUUUUGUACUUCUACUUUGUUGGCCUCUAAACACAACAUUUUUCUUUGGUCUCCCUUUUUCUACUUCUUUUCUCUUUCCAAAUUUCAACUUUGCAUAUGCUGAUAUGUCUCCCUUUUUAAUUCUAUUUUUCUGAUCAUUUUUCUGUCAACCUUCAGUUAUUCUAUGCCAAACAUAUAGAUAUUAAGAAGAUUUUAAAAAUAAAAUAAAAAUAAUAGAUAUUUUAUUUGACACAGGAAUUGUAUCUAUAAGAAUCACAUGUAUCCAUCUUUCUAUGGUUUUAUGUAGACUUGCUUAGACAUUCUUAUAUUUCAGGAAGGAAAAACAUAGAAUGUUGUAGUUGUAAAUAUAAUUCUCCUUCUCGCUGCUAGAACAUACAAUAAUUCUUCUAUGAAUCUGUCUGCAAUGCAUUAAAGAUGUAACUGCUAUGACAAGCUCUCAGUAAGUGCAAUUAAUUCUUAAAAUUAAGUUAUAAAUUGUCUAAAUCUUCUUUAUAUCCUUCAUUCUAAGUAGCAUUAAAUUUUUAUAUCUACUCAUCCAUCUUGCUAAAGUGACUAUUUAAAUUUAUAAUCUAAUAUGCCUGAAAUAAUAAAUAUUGUUCAUUUAGUUGGGACUGAUAUAGCAUAAUUUUUAAAUUAUUGUUUAGGGAUGAGACCAAAAAAUGUGCUGAUGGUUUGCAUAGUAUUCUGUUUUAUAUGUUUCUAUAGCUCAAGUAGAAACUAUUGAUGGAUUGUAGGAGGAUAUCUGAUGCGAAGAGGAUUGGAGGAAGAGUCUAAAGCAAGAUACAAAUUUAUGCAAGCAUUUGUGGAAAAAAAAAAUACUUCAUGUAUUCUAUUUUAAUCUCCGAAGCUCUCGAUUCAAAAUGACUGAUUGACAGAGUUUGUAGAUGGUCUGAAUUUUUUUAUGAGCAAUGAUGGGAACAUAAAUGUCUAGUCUAUAUAAACAUAAAUGUUAGAUAUCUUGAUAGAAUUUUGUGAUUUUUAUAUGCAUAUAAAUUUUAAUUACUCUAUGUUUAUAUAAAAAAAAUAUGGAGAGAAAUUUUAAUCAGAUGAUUAUAAGAGGGAUGUUUUCAGGAAAUUUUAUAAAUUGAAGUUUUAGAUGGCAUGAGGGACACAUUGUGAUGUUUUUAGUUAGUUGAAAAAAUUGGUUAUUUUUGUGGAAAGUGAAAAAUGUAUGGCGUUCCACAUUUGUUUCUUCACAACUACUACAUAUUGUGUUCCUCUUUUGUAUAAAUAGGCGUGGAUACAUUCUUUUUAAAAAUUUCAGAUGCUUUUAUUAUCAAGUUAUAUGUGCACUAGACCUUUCAAGCACCAAAGUCAUCUCGCUAUUUAGAGGUCUAUGAGAGCUUUAUUUUGUCCAUGUGAAUUCUUGUUGAUUUGUAAUUUUUUUACCAUUUUUUGUUUUAGAAGGAUGGCAUCUUUUUUAGCCAAUUCAGGGAAUAAAAACACAUUUUAUUCAAAUUAAGCCAUCCAUCUAUUAGAUUAUCUGAAUAUAUAUGUUAUUUAAUUUCGUCGUUUGAGACAAACAAAUGAAGAAUAUGUGGACUUCCAUUAUUGGGGGGUGCUUUGCACGGCAUACUUAUCUAGUAAAAUACAUAUAUCUAAUAUCAAAAUACUCUAUCUACUUCUACUUCUACUACUAUAUAUAUAAUAAGUGGCAAUAACCACACAGCAGGUCAACAUGUCAGCUUAGAGUCUUUAAAAAUAAUUUUGAGUGCAAUAUGGUUAUUCUUUGUUACUUUUUGUGCAUUGUUUUGCUUGAGAAGGGGAUUCUUUGUCUUUUUGGAGCUUCAAAUGACAAAACUAUCCUGAACUUCUACUCAAUGUCACAUAACUCCCACCUUUUGCAAUAUGAUCCCUAAAAGGCAUUUUGGUAAAUUUGCUAAAAAUAUUGUUGGCCAAAAACUGAUCUCAUCGUACUCUCUAUAAUCUUUUUGCACACUUGGAUCAAUUUGCCCAUAUCAUCAUUCAUCAUUAUGUAUUCUAACCAUUCCAACUGAAAAAAAUACUUAACAAUGUUAGAAUCGUUAGCUUAACUGUUUCAAUUUAUACUAUUCACUUUUUUUUUAGUCGGUCUUCAUAAGAUUGUUAUAUUUCUAUAUUUGGUAAUAAUUUAAUUUUAAAAUGCCCAUUUUCUUCAUAAUGAAAUGAUUUAUAGUCACAUAAAUAUUUAUAACUUAUUUUAGACUAUAAGUUUCAUAAAUUUUUAUUUUUGUUUAAACUUCAUAUCAAAUCAAACUACAUUACAUAAAUUGGGGGUUAGAAGCAGACACCCCCUUCUCGACAUAUCUGCUUCUAGCUGAGUUGUUUUUAUGAAAUUUAUGUGCUUUUCUUCAUUUUAAUUUGUAUGUUUUACUUUUCUUUUUAGUUUGCUAUAUAUUUGAAAAUUACUGUUGACACCUAAUUUUGGCCUAACAUUUUCAAAAUUCGUAACUUUUAAGUUUUAUUUAUUUAAUAGUUCAAAAUAAAUUUUUUAAUAAGUUUAUCGAUAACUAUCCUUAUUUAGCAUUUUUUAUCAGUUAAUUUUAAAAUUGCAUUUUUACAUGUCAUUAGUUACGUUAAUUAUACCUUUUUUAAUAUUCAUUUUAUUUGUUACAUUUAUUAAUAUUCAUUCUGAUAUUUUACACAAUCUAAAAAUUAAUUCAAAUACAAAUAUUUUAUUUGAUCGAUAAUUUUGAGCCACAAUUCCAAGCCCAUAAAUUGAACCCAUUUAACAAUUAUUUCCUAUAUAAUGUUUGGUUAGGUUAAAAAAUAAGUGAGGGUGAAUUAUUUUUUAGGAGGGACGAAUUUCCAAAAGGGAAAACCCUAAUUUUUUACUCUCCCAUUUUUUCUCCCUCAGCCUCCACCACCCAAAGACCCCAAAACAAGCCAUCUCCAUACCAUUUUUUUUUUUUUUUUUUGUAAUCAAAACCCCAAUGAUUUUUCUUCCAUUCUCACUGACUAGUGAAGUAUCAACGCCAAACAACCCCUUUUUCCCUUUCCAUUUUCCGGCGAACCAUACCGAAAACCCCUUUUCAUUAUCCUCACGUUGAGCUCCAAGCUCCAAUCUCUCCGGCGAACUACCGAUUUUUAGUGAGCCACCAAACGAACCAGACCACUAACAGCCUCAACGGUUAGCUCAAGCUCCCUGGCGAGAUAGAAACCAUACCACCAACAAGCACCACCUCAAAGGAGCGGCUCCGGCUUCGGUAAACAACAAUCAGAAGUUUCAAACUCCGAGAUCGGUAACUUUUAUUACUUUGUUUCUUGUUAUUAAGGUCUGUCUUUACUGUUUUAGUGUUCAUGAAUGAUGUUUGCAUCCAUUAUUUUGUUUAGUUUAUUUUGACUAUUGUGAUUAGCUAUUCUUAAUUAGUUUGUUUAUCUGUGGCUAAUAUUCUUGAUUAGUUUGUUUAUUUGUGACUAAUACUAAAGUUAUUAUUAAUUAAUGAUAGUUUGUUUUCUCCCAAUUUCUUAAAAUGACACAGUGAUGAUUUUUAAUUGUUAAUUAAAUAUAAGAGUGUUGGUUAGUGUGAUUUUCUUUAAGUUGUUGAUUUAUUUUACCGAUAUUAUCAUGCAUUUGCUUUUCUUUCUUUUUUUGUUAUUAUUAUUAUUUUUUAUUAUUAUUAUUAUUGUUAUUAUUAUUAGUAGUAGUAUAUUGUUUAUAUUGAAUUAUAUAUGUACAUUGGGUUGCGAUUGUUUUACAUUUAAAAUUGAUUUUGUGAUAUCCUAAGUUUUAAAGGUUAUUAUUAUUUGGUAUUUUAGUUUCUAAAUUUGUUAUAUGCUUGUUGGGUGGGUUUAACUUUGUUUAUGAGGUUGUAGUAUUUUCCAUUGAAAGUUCAUCUUCUCCGUAAUAUUUCAUUAUGUAUGCUCACUAUUUGUCUCAUUAGUUUAUUUAUUCACCGUUAUUUCAUUUUUAUUUAUGUUUGGCUACUGUUAAUUUGGUUAGAGUGGAUGUCACACAUUUUUAUUUUUAUAAGAAUUCUCAGUGAGUUAUAUUGUUAAUGUUUGGUCAUUGUUUCUACUUUAUGUUAUCUUUUUUUUAUUUUUUUAUUUUGUUUCUAUUAGUUUUUUUUUAUUGGAUUUUGUAUUUAAAAAUGUUAAGUUAAUUGGCCAAUGAAAAAUCUCUCCGUCGGUUUUGGAGGCCUCCACAUUCCAAAAGACGAAAAUUUAGUUUAAGUUCAUAUAUUUUGUUUGUUCAAAAUGGUCGAUGAAGAAAUUACCGUCGAUUUCCAAGGCAUCCUAUGUUAAUAAGACGGGUUUUUAUUUUUAAGUUAUUAUUUGAUUCAUUUAUUUUUUAUUCAUAUAUAUUUAGUACUAACACUUUUACUAAGUGUCUUUACAGAUACCCCGAAGUCGGUUGUUACCGAAAUCAUUCGAAUAAAGUUCGAAUACUAUAUUAAUUAUUAUGUAUUUUGUUGACGAUAGACAAAUAUUAGGUCGUUUCUCAUAUUACUUGUUUACUUUAUUACUUGUGUAUAUUGCAUGUUUAUUAUAUUUGUACAUUAUUUUAUUCUCCUUCUCAAUUUGAAAAGAUGAAUUCAGUCGGGACCCACAGUUGUGGAUUUCGAAGGAUGCCUAACACCUUCCCUUCGAUAUAACUUGAACCCCUUACCUAGAAUCUUGGUUUCGUAGAUCACUUAAUGACUUCCUAGUUUUUUCCUAAAAUUAGGUGGCGACUCCUUUAAAAUUCGUUUAUUCUUAAAAUUCUUUCAAAAUUGAAUCAACUAAUUAUUUUUUGAGUCACCGCGACGUUUCGCCCUAUUUGAAUAGAGUAGGGAUGUAAACAAUUACGUAAAAAAAAUACUAUAACUAACAACUUAAAAUAUUUUAAAGAUAUAUAAAAUAAAAAAAGAUUGACUCUCAAAAUUCUAUUGAUACAACAUAAAUUGGAAUGGAGGAAAUAACAUUUAUACUAGUAUUUUAAGAUAUUGUAAAAAGUACUACUAUAAAUCACAAUAAUUAACAAUUUUAAAUAUUUAAAAAAAGUAGUUAUCUCUUAAAAUUCAAUCAGACCUGCCUGUCAUCAAGGGUAUAUUCAUCAUUCUUGUUAAUUUUAGGUUGCACUUGUUCCCAAUCUGCCACAUUAGCAGCUUGCUGUAGCCUUUUAAGCUAUUUCAGCUUUAAGAACGAUUUGUUCUUCCUAAAUUCUUGAUUUCCUUCUUCGAUUUUCCCUUCUCAGUCCCCUUUUUCCGUCUGGCUUGCAGUUGGAGCUUCCUGUUUCAGUCGACCGAUCUGAUUUACAAUUUGUGAGGUUCGAUAUUACUUCUCCUUCGAAUUUAAUUUCUGCUUUCCUUUCCGUGAUACUUGAUGAAAUUUACGUUCACAAACAUUUUGGGUACAUAGUUUUGACCUUAUGAAAAGGAAGUGAUAGAAAAUAUUUCUCAUAUACUACGAGGGUUCUAAACCAACCCAAUAUAGCUUAUAUCAGCUUCACGUACCCAGAGGAAGUCGGCGGCGGUUCCCUUUAUCGACUCCGGCGACGGCGAAAAACCAUCUCUGAUGGUAAUGAUGGGUAAGAAAUCAUCGAGGAAGAAUGGAGUUGGUAAAACACCUGGUUCAAUUACAUUAAGAGAAGAAUCAGGUGUGAAGAAGAAACAAAUUCAUGUUAAUGCGAAAUCGAUGCUGAAAUUGGAGCAUAUAAAGGAUAUUGCUACCUGGGCUAGUGGCGAAGGUUACAUACCUUCACUUGGUGCGUUUUUUGGGCAGAGAUUAGCUGUAUCAAUUGAGUCUUUGGGUGUUCCACCUGACCCUUCAUUAUUUACAUGUCAAAGGUUUGAGCUUUUUAUAAACUUUUUAUUUGAUUUGUCUUGCAUUUAUGAAUACAUACUUUGUUAAUUUUGUGAUGGGUUGAAAAAUGGAUAUUUGUUCAUUAAUGGAUGUAGGGGUAUAGUAAGAGAGAUAGGAUUAGAGAUUAGUAUAUUCGGGAUAAGGUAGGAAUGGUUUUGGUGGAGGACAAGAUGCGGGAAGCUAUACUGAGAUGGUUCAGGCAUGGAGAUGCAGAUGCACAAAUGUGUGAAGGUGUGAGAGGUUGACUAUGGUUAGUUUUAGGAGAGGUGAUUAGAUCAGAUAUGACGUAGUUUUUAGCUUAUUGAGAGCAUGACCUUAGAUUGGAGCUUGUGGAGGACACAAAUUAAUGUAGGAGGUUAUAGAACAUUACUAGGUAGUAAUGUGUUGUAUUGCUAUCCGUCCAUACAAGUAGUUGUAAUUUCUGUUACUAUCCUUUGUUUCUUGAACAUUGAUUAUCGUAUUAUUUUGUUGUACUGUUCAAAAUGCUUUGUUAUGCUUUCACUUUAGCUUAUUCUCUUUCUGGACUGCUUUGCACUGUUUUCUUGAGUCUAUUGGAAACAACCUUUGUAUCCUAAUAUAGGAGUCAGGACAAGGUUUGCCGGCACUCUACCCUCCUAGAUCUCACUUUUUUAUAUUGUACGAACCAGUGUAGAAACGACGUUCUAUGAUGAAUUGCACCGGAUCACACACCUCAAGAUCUCUCCGGCGCUAAGCAUGUUGACAACUUUAAUUUCUAGGCCAUCCUUUAGACGAGGAAUAUACAUGAACACCAUGGAGGUUAGGAAAACAGGAACAGUAAAGACUAGACUCCAGAGAAAGGACUGAUGAUACUGUUCAAUUUCAUCUCUUAUCCAGGAUACUUUCCCUUCAGGAAAUGUCACUCCCGUGAAUUGUCCUGAACUAGUUGACUCAACUGCUUGAAUAAAUUUUUGAGGUCCUGUGACGUCUGAUCGGUAAGAAAGGGGAUAUCUUCUUCUGCUUUGUAGCAAUAUCAGGGUCUUCAACUCCUGCAAGUGCUCUAAUAGAAGUUUCAAUAAUCCUCAUGAAAUUGUCAGUGAGUGCUCCAUCAAAUCUCUCGCUUAAGUGUAACCAGAACAUCAAAUCCAUAACCAAUUUCUUUUUUCGAUACUUGGGAAAUCCUCCAAGUCCAGCGAUGCACGUUCCGAAACUCAUUGAAUAAUAUGAGUGUCAUCUACUCCUCUCCUUUUUUAAUAGCAUGCUUUUUUCUGUAGCGGGGUUCAAAUUUGUGAUGUGUCGAACCCACAAAUCAUGAGCUACACUCUUAUAACUAGAUCAAAGGCCUAGGGGAAAGCUAUAACCAACUAGUUGGUAUCACUCAUAAGGGUUUUUGCUUUCACCAUGUUCUAAGCUUAGCUAAAUCUGCAUGGAUUUCUAGAGGUUGUACGACUAACUAAAUAAAAGUACAGAAAACCAAAAAAUGACUUGGUCCUUCAUGUUCUAUUAGUCUCAUCUUAUUUAUACCUAGUUGGUAUUUUUUAUAUCUCAGGACUCAGAUUCUGGAAGAGCACUCACGUGUUUUUUUAGUACUUCACAUUUAUGUGUUACAUAGCUAACUUCUGAGUAGAAUAAGUUGUUUUUCCUUCUUCUGAUUUCUACUAUUUCAAAAAUCACAAUGUAUGUGUGGAGUUGAUUUAUUCUUCUUAAAAGUUUAUACUAAUCACUUUGAAUUUUGGCCACCUUCAUGUUGAAUGAGUCAUUGUCUACUUUUCAUCCUUUUUCGAGGCUUGCAUACUAACUUAUAAUUGAUAUUUCACAGGUGUGAAUCUAUCCUUCAGGCUGGCUACAAUUGUACAGCACGGAUUGAGAAGAACAAAAGAAAGGCACGAAUGAAACGCAAGACAUCCGGUAUUCCCCCGAAGAACUCAGUUGUAUAUGAGUGUCAUUUCUGCUCACAUCGGAAUCUAAAGAGAGGAACCCCAAGAGGCUAUAUGAAAAGCCUAAAUCCUGCUAAACCAAAAACUUUAACAGUUGACCCUGCUAAAUCAGCAACCCGAAAGGCAAAAGUUGAUCCUACUGAAUCAGCAAUGCAAAGAUCUGAACAUUUGCGCACGUUAGUGGCCAGUAUCUAUAAGGCAAAAGUUGAUCCUAUUGAAUCAGCAAUGCAUAAGUCUGAACAUUUGGAUACAUCAGUGGCUAGUACUGAUAAGGCAAGAGUUGAUCCUACUGAAUCAGCAAUGCUGAACAUUUGGAUACGUCAGUGGCUAGGAUCGAUAAGACAAGAGUUAACACUACUGAAUCAGCAACCCAAAAGUCUGAACAGUUCGAUGUUUUAGGGGGCAGUACCACAGAUGUAAUUGUUUCAUCUGAACUAGUUGGAGAUGAUCCUAUGGCUGGUCCUGCAACUCCAUUGUCAACAGUUACGGUUACUUCUCUGUUGGAUUCGAAGAAGAGGAAAAGAAAUAGAACAGGGUCCAAGAAGAAAGCUGAACCUCAGGAUGGUUCAUCCAUGACAGAUGCUGAGAAGACUGUCUCAACAUCCAGUAAGAGAAAGAAGAAGUCUUGGACUAGUUUGAAGGAAAUUGCUGAAAGUCAGAGUAGCAAUAGUAGGAAGUUCUCCAAUAUAUCUGUUCCAUUUAUUCUUUGAUUGUGAGAAUUGUAUUUUGCCUGUAGAGCACCCCCUUUUUUGGGGGUUUUCACGCCCGGUGUCCGGAGCUCAUAUUGGCGUGCUCUGACUAAAUUCGAAUCACGCACUGCAGGGUCCAUUGGGAGUGACACUCCCUAACAUAUUUUCUCUCGUAAGUUGUAACAGUAGUUACUGUCCAAUAUUAUAUGAGUAUUUAGUGUACUUUGACAAUUGUUUAGUUUCUUUUUGAUUUAUAAUUUUUUUUGGAAAGUUCUUGGUUGUUUAACUAAAUGUUCGUCUUUCUACUAUAUUAGAAGCAUGGGUAACAACAUGGUAUCAACAUGUCUGUUUAUUGUCAUUUUUUAAUUUGUCAAGGGAAUUUUCGUCAUUUCAAUCAUAUCCUUGCUUCCAUCUUUACUCCACGUGGUAAUGUAGUCAUGGCUUUACUGGGCGUGGCAUUCAUGCCUGCUUCUACCAGCUCCAUCUCAGUGCUCUCAUGAGUCUCAUCUAUCCACUGAUCAAGAGGAAGAUAAAAGCUUAUGCCAUAUUCUCUGAGUGCAACUUCAAUUUUCAGGUAAUUUGACACAUCUCUUUUUAAUUUUUGGCUUUAAUUUCUUAGUUCUUCGCAUGCUUUCACCUCAAUUGUCUUUUGGUUUUAAUUUUUCAUCAGAUAUUUUUUUAAUUUAGUUUUAAAUAAAUGGGUUGGUUUAUAUAUAUUGUGAUAAUUUUCUCUGGUUUCAUCUAAUCUCUCAGUUAAUAAUAAUUUCUAUGUUCAAGUUUUAUGUGUUUAUGAUUCUAUGGCUCUAGAGAUUUGUGUAGGCUGCUAUGCACGGGUAGAACACUUUACGUUGUUAUCAUCACAUCUUCUCAACUCUGCUUAUAGUUUCUCGAUAUGUAUCUCCUUCACUUUUUGAUUUUGUGUUCUACAUAGUGAUUGUUGUGCUUUUGGGUCUGAUUGUUUGGGUUGAAGUUCUCUUUUAUGUGUUCACUUGUAAUUCUAUUGAGUUGAAUGUCAGGUGAUACAUUCUGCGUUUAAAGAGAAAAGUAUACUUAUCGUCCUUCAAUUUUGUUGAUUUUCUAUGUGCGAGAAACGAAAUCAUAUGGUUUCAGUUUUACUUAUAUUUGCAAAUUGAUUUUUUGGAGUUCUGUGUGAUUCAAGGGAAAAGAAAUUAAAGGUUAUUUAUUAGAUUCAUAAUUUUCGUUAUACUCUCGGUAAAAGUAAGGGAAAACAAGCAUGCUGCUUUUGAAUAUUUCUCAGCUUUUGCUCUAUAGAUGUUUGUAAAAGUUCUCCAAAGAAGCAGCCUCUUUCGAUUUCAAUUUUCUAAUGUAGCUUCUUAAUUUUUGUAAUUAUCUGAUAAUUUGUUGUAA